AAACAUCUUUUCUUGUUAGUCUCUGAAGUAUGGCCUGCCCGCUGACGUUUUAUUAGUUGAAGGGCCGCGGUAUUUUGACCGUGCAAAGGUAGCAUAGUCAUUAGUUCUUUAAUUGUGAUCUGGUAUGAAUGGCUUGACGAGACAUGGGCUGUCUUGGAUUAGUGGAUUUAUUGUUGAAUUUGGACUUUAGGUUAAAAUUCUUAGAUGUUUUUAUGGGACGAGAAGACCCUAUAGAGUUUGACAUUUGAUUGUGUAUUUCUUAUUGUUUGUUUUAAAUUUUUUCGUAUCUUUUGUUUUGUUGGGGUGAUGGGAGGAAUUUAUUUAACUCUUCUUUUAUGUGGUAUAUUGAUUUGUAUUGGUUUUGAUCCAUUUAUUUUGAUUGUAAGAUUAAAUUACCUUAGGGAUAACAGCGUUAUCUUCCUUGAGAGUUCUUAUUGGCGGGGGGGUUUGCGACCUCGAUGUUGGAUUAAGAUUAAUUUUUGGUGUAGGAGC
rnacentral:rRNA from 1 species